rnacentral:sRNA from 1 species
AGGUCGGGCCUUUCAGGCAUCCUCUCCUAAACCUUUCAAAGGGCCGCCUCCGGGCGGCCCCUUUUUUUUGCGAGU